rnacentral:tRNA from 1 species
GCGCUCGUAGUUUAACGGAUAGAAUGGAGGCCUCCGACGCCUUUGAUACAGGUUCGAUUCCUGUCGGGCGCA